AUAAAGAACUAUCUUCUUUUCUGGACAGUCCAGGCCAUUUUUGUUAAGGCUGUUCUUGUGACACCAAGAUGAAGAUGAGAGGAUCAUUCUUGUUGAUGACAAAUAUAAGUGGGCCCAGGUUAUUUUCACCAUCAUCUCUUCUACCAAAGAACCUAAUGACGGCAUUGUGGAGAGAAACAUCCAAAUUGCUGUUCUCCUGGACAACAAGAAGAAUAUCUCUGAUCCCAUCUCAAGGUUGAGAACCAAAUUUGUGUACCAUUUGUCAUACCUCUGUAAAAAAUGUGAUCCUACAGAAGUGGAACUGGAUAAUUAGAGUUCCUGCUACCCAGAGCAAUAUCCGUGACGAAGACAGUGCUACAGAGAUAUGCCACACUGAUGUCAGAAACAAGUGCUACACAACUAUGGUCCUGCUUAUAUACGGUGGUGAGACCAAAAUGGUGAAAAUAGGCUUGACCCCAGGUUCCUGCUAUCCUGA
rnacentral:lncRNA from 1 species